AUACGUAGGGUGCGAGCGUUGUCCGGAAUUACUGGGCGUAAAGAGCUCGUAGGUGGUUUGUCGCGUCGUCUGUGAAAUUCCGGGGCUUAACUCCGGGCGUGCAGGCGAUACGGGCAUAACUUGAGUACUGUAGGGGAGACUGGAAUUCCUGAUGUAGCGGUGAAAUGCGCAGAUAUCAGGAGGAACACCGGUGGCGAAGGCGGGUCUCUGGGCAGUAACUGAAGCUGAGGAGCGAAAGCAUGGGUAGCGAACAGGAUUAGAUCCCCUGGUAGUCCAUGCCGUAAACGGUGGGCGCUAGGUGUAGGGGUCUUCCACGACUUCUGUGCCGUAGCUAACGCAUUAAGCGCCCCGCCUGGGGAGUACGGCCGCAAGGCUAAAACUCAAAGGAAUUGACGGGU
rnacentral:rRNA from 1 species